rnacentral:rRNA from 1 species
CGGGAAGGUGGGGAUGACGUCAAGUCAGCAUGGCCUUUAUGUCCAGGGCUACACACACGCUACAAUGGUCAGCACAAUAGGUAGCCAAGCCGCGAGGUGGAGCCAAUCCUCAAAGCUGGCCUCAGUUCAGAUCGCAGGCUGCAACCCGCCUGCGUGAAGCCGGAGUUGCUAGUAACCGCAGGUCAGCUAUACUGCGGUGAAUACGUUCCCGGGGCUU